rnacentral:tRNA from 1 species
AUUUAAAUAGUUUAAUAAAAAUUUUAAUUUGUGGAAUUAAUGUUACAAUAAUUUUGUUUUAAAUA